CAGGCUGUGAUGAUUGGCGCAGGGGUACGGACCUCAGCUGAUCAUGGGAGCUGAGUGUAUGUGUUUCUCCUUCGUCCUGCGUGUGGCAGGAUGACGGCCAGCACUUACACGAGACUGAUGCCUUAAUCUGAGCCUG